UGUUGACCUCGGAUCAGGUAGGAAUACCC
rnacentral:rRNA from 1 species